rnacentral:rRNA from 1 species
AUUGAACGCUGGCGGCAUGCCUUACACAUGCAAGUCGAACGGUAACAGGGAGCUUGCUCCGCUGACGAGUGGCGAACGGGUGAGUAAUGUAUCGGAACGUACCAUUCAGUGGGGGAUAACGUAGCGAAAGUUACGCUAAUACCGCAUAUUCUGUGAGCAGGAAAGCAGGGGAUCGCAAGACCUUGCGCUGAUUGAGCGGCCGAUAUCAGAUUAGCUAGUUGGUGAGGUAAAGGCUCACCAAGGCGACGAUCUGUAGCGGGUCUGAGAGGAUGAUCCGCCACACUGGAACUGAGACACGGUCCAGACUCCUACGGGAGGCAGCAGUGGGGGAAUUUUGGACAAUGGGGGCAACCCUGAUCCAGCCAUGCCGCGUGAGUGAAGAAGGCC